rnacentral:rRNA from 1 species
AGUGAACGCUGGCGGUAGGCCUAACACAUGCAAGUCGAACGGCAGCACAGUAAGAGCUUGCUCUUACGGGUGGCGAGUGGCGGACGGGUGAGGAAUACAUCGGAAUCUACUUUUUCGUGGGGGAUAACGUAGGGAAACUUACGCUAAUACCGCAUACGACCUACGGGUGAAAGCAGGGGAUCUUCGGACCUUGCGCGAUUGAAUGAGCCGAUGUCGGAUUAGCUAGUUGGCGGGGUAAAGGCCCACCAGGGCGACGAUCCGUAGCUGGUCUGAGAGGAGGGUCGCCCCCAUUGGACGUGAGACCCGGUCCGGCUCCCUAGGGGAGGCACCAUUGGGAAUAUUGGGCAAUGGGGGGAAGCCUUGUCCCGCCCUACCGGGGUGGUGAAAGAAGCCUUCCGGUUGUAAAACCCUUUUGUUGGGAAAAAAAAACAGCCGGUUUAUACCCCGGCGUUCUGACGGUACCCAAAAGAUAAGCACCGGCUAACUUCGUU